rnacentral:rRNA from 3 species
GGACUACUGGGGUUUCUAAUCCCGUUCGCUCCCCUGGCUUUCGCGUCUCAGCGUCAGUAAGGGUCCAGGGCCUCGCUUUCGCCACGGGCGUUCCUUCCGAUCUCAACGCAUUUCACCGCUCCACCGGAAGUUCCAGACCCCCCUACCCCCCUCCAGGCCGCUCGUAUCGGUGCCCCUUCCCCGGUUGAGCCGGGGGAUUUCAGCAGCCGACGGGACGGCCCGCCUACACGCGCUUUAAGCCCAGUGAUUCCGAAUAACGUUCGCACGGUUCGUCUUACCGCGGCUGCUGGCAC